rnacentral:lncRNA from 12 species
AAAAAGGAAGAGAGAAAAUCCAUUUGCACUGUGGAGCGUAACAUUAUCUGCAAAACUAAACAGUUUCUGUACCCAGAGUGGGUGCAUGUAUUGGCGAUGUCUUAUUUUCUCUACAGGUAUUGCAGAGUGGAGGAUCUCCCUCAGGAGUGCUCUGGAACCCCCCAGGUGAGUGUGAGUUGUCCCUCAGGCCAAAUGGAGCAAAGUACAGAUGGACAUGAAGGCCAGUGUAUCCCCCCAUGCUUCCAUCUGCAGCUCCAUAACAAAGCCGUGUUGGGACAACCUCAAGAAACAAUUUUCAAACUUUUUAAGCCAACUCACUUCUCUAUGACCACAGCUGGUUGAAAGCCAAUCACACAAGCUGC